UAGACUAAUGAUGAGUAUCUGAGAUGUGUGAGUCAAGGAUUUUGAUGAAGCUUUGUAACUUUGAGAUUCAU
ensembl:snoRNA